rnacentral:rRNA from 1 species
AACGAACGCUGGCGGCAGGCCUAACACAUGCAAGUCGAACGCUCCAGCAAUGGAGAGUGGCAGACGGGUGAGUAACACGUGGGAACCUUCCCUACGGUCGGGAAUAGCCCAGGGAAACUUGGGGUAAUACCGGAUACGCCCUUCGGGGGAAAGAUUUAUCGCCGUUGGAUGGGCCCGCGUCGGAUUAGCUAGUUGGUGGGGUAAUGGCCUACCAAGGCGACGAUCCGUAGCUGGUGUGAGAGGAUGAUCAGCCACACUGGGACUGAGACACGGCCAAGACUCCUACGGGAGGCAGCAGUGGGGAAUAUUGGACAAGGGGCGCAAGCCUGAUCCAGCCAUGCCGCGUGAGUGACGAAGGCCUUAGGGUUGUAAAGCUCUUUUGGCGGGGAAGAUAAUGACGGUACCCGCAGAAUAAGCUCCGGCUACCUUCGUGCCAGCAGCCGCCGUAACAC